GGGUGUGAGGGCGAUCUGGCUGCAACAUCUGUCACCCCAUUGAUUGCCAGGGUUAAUUCGGCUGAUCUGGCUGGUCCCCUUCCUUGCUCACAGCUCCAUGUGCUUCCCUCCCGAAGCUAUGUGCUCCCAAGAGGAUGACCAUCCCCAACAGAGAAGGACCGGUCUUCAAUCAAGGGUAUACGAGUAGCUGCGCUCUCCUGCUAGAGCCUCCAAAAAAGCUCUCAGGGUCAUUUGUUGUUCAUCUUUUAAGGGAAUGAGACUCUAAUAGAUGCUGUACAAUGCGUGAAACU
rnacentral:snRNA from 1 species